CAUUCUGUGGUAGGGGAGCAUUAUCUGCGCAGUGAAGGUGUCUGGUAAUGGAUGCUGGAGUGCAGAGAAAAGCGAAUGUAGGCAUAAGUAACGAUAAUGCGGGUGAGAAACCCGCACGCCGUAAGACUAAGGUUUCCUGAACAACGCUAAUCGGUUCAGGGUUAGUCGGGUCCUAAGACAAAGCCGAAGGGCUAAGCCGAUGGACAACAGGUGAAUAUUCCUGUACCAGCUUUAUUGAGUGAUGUGGUGACGGAGUAGUGAAAGGUCUGCGCACUGACGGAAUAGUGCGUUGAAGUCCGUAGGUAUUGGUUUUGCAGGCAAAUCCGCAGAACUAGCUGAAAGACGAUAGUACUCCACGGCUUCGGCCACGGAGAUAAUGACCCUAAUCAGACUUCCAAGAAAACCCGCUAAGCGUUUACAAUAAAGCUGCCCGUACCGCAAACCGACACAGGUAGUCGAGGAGAGCAUCCUAAGGCGCUCGAGUGAAUCACGGCCAAGGAACUCGGCAAAAUGGCCCUGUAACUUCGGGAGAAGGGGCGCUUCCUCCAGCGAUGGAGAAGCCGCAGUGAAAAGGCCCAGGCGACUGUUUAACAAAAACACAUGGCUUUGCGAAAUCGAAAGAUGAAGUAUAAGGCCUGACACCUGCCCGGUGCCGGAAGGUUAAGAGGGGGGGUUAGCCGCAAGGCGAAGCUCUGAAUCGAAGCCCCGGUAAACGGCGGCCGUAACAAUAACGGUCCUAAGGUAGCGAAAUUCCUUGUCGGGUAAGUUCCGACCUGCACGAAUGGUGUAACGAUCUGGGCGCUGUCUCAGCCGUGAGCUCGGUGAAAUUGUAGUCUCGGUGAAGAUGCCGAGUACCCGCAACGGGACGGAAAGACCCCGUGCACCUUUACUAUAGCUUAACAUUGACUCUGGAUAACUCAUGUGUAGGAUAGGUGGGAGUCUAUGAAGCGGUGUCGCCAGGCAUCGUGGAGACAACGUUGAAAUACCACCCUUGAGUUAUUUGGAGCCUAAUCUGGAAACGGAGACAUUGUUUGGUGGGUAGUUUGACUGGGGUGGUCGCCUCCAAAAGAGUAACGGAGGCUUUCAAAGGUACCCUCAGCACGCUUGGUAACCGUGCGCAGAGUGCAAUAGCAGAAGGGUGUUUGACUGUGAGGCCAACAAGCCGAGCAGGGUCGAAAGACGGAUAUAGUGAUCCGGUGGUUCCGCAUGGAAGGGCCAUCGCUCAAAGGAUAAAAGGUACGCCGGGGAUAACAGGCUGAUCUCCCCCAAGAGCUCAUAUCGACGGGGAGGUUUGGCACCUCGAUGUCGGCUCGUCACGUCCUGGGGCUGGAGAAGGUCCCAAGGGUUCGGCUGUUCGCCGAUUAAAGUGGCACGCGAGCUGGGUUCAGAACGUCGUGAGACAGUUCGGUCCCUAUCUGUUGUGGGCGUUAGAAGUUUGAGAGGACCUGACCUUAGUACGAGAGGACCGGGUUGGACAAGCCGCUGGUGCACCUGUUGUAUCGCCAGAUGCAGCGCAGGGUAGCUACGCUUGGAAGAGAUAAGCGCUGAAAGCAUCUAAGUGCGAAACUCACCUCAAGAUGAGACUUCUUUUAAGGGCCGUUAUAGAUGAUGACGUUGAUAGGAAGCAGGUGUAAAGGCAGAAAUGUCACAGCCGAGCUUUACUAAUUGCCC
rnacentral:rRNA from 1 species